rnacentral:lncRNA from 1 species
ACCGCAGCGAGCUCCGCCCCGGAUCUGCGCAGCCCCAACACACGCCGUCGAUCUGCGCAGCCAUGACACACGUCGUCGUCUGCCCAUUUAGACAGCCCCGGUCACGAUGUCGUCGAAUCCCGGUGAGGACCCGUUCUUCUCCUUGUGUUUAUUUCUCUCCGGCACAUGUAUUCGACGCCGAUUAAUUAAAUGCUAAUCAUUUAUAUAUGUGUGUGCGUAUGCGUGUGAUUUUUGCAGAGGAGAAACACCUGAGGCAGUUGGGUGGAGAAGAAUAAAGAAAGCUCUCGCGCAUCACACACCUAGCGCUCGACGGAAUGAUUGAGAUUGAAUCGUCGUCGUUUCCGUUAUUUGGUUUAGUAUGGUGAGCUCUUUCGCCAUCCUUGUUAGUAGCGUGUAAGGUGGAUGCAUAUGCAUAGUGUGAUUAAAUUGAUUCUUUGAUU